rnacentral:rRNA from 1 species
AUUGAACGCUGGCGGCAGGCCUAACACAUGCAAGUCGAGCGGAGCGGCGGACGGGUGAGUAAUGCCUAGGAAUCUGCCUGGUAGUGGGGGAUAACGUCCGGAAAUGGGCGCUAUUACCGCAUACUAUUAGAUGUCCCUCGGUGGGAUUAGUUAGUUGGUGGGGUAUAGGCCUACCAAGGCGAAGAUCCGUAACUGGUCUGUGAGGAUGAUCAGUCACACUGGAACUGAGAACCGGUCCAGACUCCUACGGGAGGCAGCAGUGGGGAAUAUUGGACAAUGGGCGAAAGCCUGAUCCAGCCAUGCCGCGUGUGUGAAGAAGGUCUUCGGAUUGUAAAGCACUUUAAGGUGGGAGGCGGUAAAAAAAGAAUAAGCACCGGCUAACUUCGUGCCAGCAGCCGCGGUAAGAG